rnacentral:pre_miRNA from 1 species
CGGUGGCUGGCAGUCGGUUUUCACCCUGAUCUGAGAGUGAAGCUCUUCUGAGAUCAUCGUGAAAGCUAGUUGUCGGUUCACU